GCACGUGCGUAUCAAACAGCAGGAAUAACGGACGACUGGUUCAAAGCUACUGCGACUUUCAGUGGUAUUUUCACAAAACUAUAUCCCUCAUGGAGUCUGACCGGGACUGGUAUUCUCUGAAGCUUAUGUCCACUCCGAUGUCCCGGUGAUUGAAGCUGACAUGGAGUCACAGUGACAUCCUUAAAAACAGUUGUCAUGUAUAUCUCUGUAUCUCUGAAUAUUUUUUAUUUAUUUUUUGUUUAUGUUUUAGAUUUAAGUGUUAUUGCCAUAUGUACAUUUUUCAUGAAUGUUCUAAAUAUUUAGAAUAAUUUCAAGUCCAUUUAAAAAUCUUAAAGUUCUGAAUUGUUUCUGAUUGUUUUGUUUUUCAUGUUAUAUAUUGAUGUGAACUGGAAAUACUGUUUGAAGUUAAUUAUAAUGUAAACUGAAUAU